rnacentral:rRNA from 1 species
CCUACGGGGGGCAGCAGUAGGGAAUCUUCCACAAUGGGCGAAAGCCUGAUGGAGCAACGCCGCGUGGGUGAAGAAGGUCUUCGGAUCGUAAAACCCUGUUGUUAGAGAAGAAAGUGCGUGAGAGUAACUGUUCACGUUUCGACGGUAUCUAACCAGAAAGCCACGGCUAACUACGUGCCAGCAGCCGCGGUAAUACGUAGGUGGCAAGCGUUAUCCGGAUUUAUUGGGCGUAAAGGGAACGCAGGCGGUCUUUUAAGUCUGAUGUGAAAGCCUUCGGCUUAACCGGAGUAGGGCAUUGGAAACUGGGAGACUGGAGUGCAGAAGAGGAGAGUGGAACUCCAGGUGUAGCGGUGAAAUGCGUAGAUAUAUGGAAGAACACCAGUGGCGAAAGCGGCUCUCUGGUCUGUAACUGACGCUGAGGUUCGAAAGCGUGGGUAGCAAACAGGAUUAGAUACCCGAGUAGUC